rnacentral:rRNA from 1 species
AACGGCGAGUGAAGCGGCAACAGCCCAGAUUUGAAAUCCGGCUUUCGGGCCCGACUUGUAAUCUGCAGAUGAGUCUUUUGGCGGAGCGCCGUCCAAGUUCCCUGGAACGGGACGCCGGAGAGGGUGAGAGCCCCGUACCGACGUGCGCCGAGUCUUUGCAAAGCUCAUUCGAAGAGUCGAGUAGUUUGGAAAUGCUGCUCAAAUUGUGGGGUAAAUCUCCCAUAAGGCUAAAUACUGGCCAGAGACCGAUAGCGCACAAGUAGCGUGAGCGAAAGAUGAAAAGAGCCUUGAACAAGGGCGUCAAAAAGCAUGUGAAAUUGUUGUGAGGGAAGCGCUCGAUGCCAGACGUGGAGGCGGUUGGUUACCCGGCGUUCUCGCCGGCGCACUCUGCCGUCUCCAGGCCAGCAUCAGUUCGGCUUGGGGCUCAAUGCAGUUGGGAACGUGGCUCUUCGGAGUGUUAUAGCCUAGCUGCGACGUCCUGGGCCGGACUGAGGAACGCGCAUCUGCCCGGAUGCUGGCGUAAUGGCUUCUAGCGACCCGUCUUGAAACACGGACCAAGGAGUUGACCUAACAUGCGAGUGUUUGGGUGUAAAGCCCUCACGCGCAGUGAAAGCGAACGCAGGUGGGAGCUUCGGCGCACCAUCGACCGAUCCUGAAGUUUACGGAUGGAUUUGAGUAAGAGCAUGUUGGGUCUGACCCGAAAGAAGGUGAACUAUGCAUGAAUAGGGUGAAGCCAGAGGAAACUCUGGUGGAGGCUCGCAGCGGUUCUGACGUGCAAAUCGAUCGUCAAAUUUGUGCAUGGGGGCGAAAGACCAAUCGAACCUUCUAGUAGCUGGUUCCUGCCGAAGUUUCCCUCAGGAUAGCAGAGUUGGACCUCAGUUUCAUGAGGUAAAGCGAAUGAUUAGAGACUCGGGGGCGCUAUAUUGCCUUCAUCUAUUCUCAAACUUUAAAUAUGUGAGAAGCCUUGUGUUACUUUCUUGAACGCAGGCCUUUGAAUGAAUCAACUCUAGUGGGCCAUUUUUGGUAAGCAGAACUGGCGAUGUGGGAUGAACCAUACGGGGGCUUAAGGUGCCAGAGUGGACGCUCAUCAGACACCA